GCCGUCGCCGCCUCGGCCGGGCCCGCAGCGCCGCGGGGGGCAACGCCGGGCCCCCGUUUCCUCGUGAGGCCGCGUACAGUGUCACAGAGCACCCCCCCAAAAGCCCCGCUCACUCGAAAGCUCUGUUCCUUCAGGGAUGAAGGAAGAGGUGGUGAGCAGCUGGACUGCAAACCCUCAUUUUACAGAUGCAUAAUGCCUGACGCUGAGCCCUUUGAGCACGCUCUUUGCUCUCCAUGCGGAUGAUCCCGUGUCAUAUGUGGGGGAAACGCCUGUACGCUGACUAGAUCCGAUGGAGCCGAGCGCUUGAAACUGCUCUGGAAGUGGUGGUGCGGGUCCCCUACCUCUCCUGGGCUCUCUAGAGCCUGGGAAUGCCGACACCUUAAUGAGCCUCCUGCAGAGCGCCCUGGAGCCCGGAUCACGGGAUGGUUUUGUUUUCCUGUCUUAGCAAUCUGCACCUGUAUGGACUAAUCUGUAUAUCACUGUAUUGUAGUGAAUCCUCUUAACUCAAAAAAUAUAGAGAACAAGCAGCUUAACACUUAGAAAUAAGUCUCAUCCCUAGAUUUAAAAAUGCUCUAUGAAAUACAGCUGCAUAUAGGAAAACUCAGGUUUCUGGGCUUUGAACCUGCUGCUCAGCUGUAGACUUGCGAGGUGACUUGGCUUUGUGACUGGCUCCAGCAAUUUUAGCGUUAGGAUCUUCUUUUGCCUUGAAACCUAUGCGG
rnacentral:lncRNA from 1 species